rnacentral:rRNA from 1 species
UACGUAGGGUGCAAGCGUUGUCCGGAAUUACUGGGCGUAAAGCGCACGUAGGCGGCUUUGCAAGUUAGAGGUGAAAGCCCGGGGCUCAACUCCGGAAUUGCCUUUAAAACUGCAUCGCUAGAAUUGUGGAGAGGUAAGUGGAAUUCCGAGUGUAGAGGUGAAAUUCGUAGAUAUUCGGAAGAACACCAGUGGCGAAGGCGACUUACUGGACACAUAUUGACGCUGAGGUGCGAAAGCGUGGGGAGCAAACAGG